UGGCGCCCCGGCCAUCGGGCGAUUAUUUUUGGGCGCGGCUGUGCCCGCGGCCUAUUUUUGGCACACGGAGGCGCCUCGCAAAGUCUCGCGCCAUUCCGAGUCCGGCGGACGAAGUUGGCCAGCCCCACCCCCCAAGGCUAUAGCCCACCCGUUUUUGUGGCCUUUUUCCGCUGGACGAACUUGGCGCCCCGGCCUUCGGGCGGUUAUUUUUGGGCGCGGCUGUGCCCGCGGCCUAUUUUUGGCACACGGAGGCACCUCGCAAAGUCUUGCGCCAUUCCGAGUCCGGCGGACGAAGUUGGCCAGCCCCACCCCCCAAGGCUAUAGCCCACCCGUUUUGGUGGGCUUUUUCCGCUGGAUGAACUUGGCGCCCCGGCCUUCAGGCGGUUAUUUUUGGGCAAGGCUUUGUCCGCGGCCUAUUUUUGGCACACGGAGUCCCCUCGUAAAGUCUCGCGGCAUUCCGAGUCCGGCGGACGAAGUAGGCCAGCCCCACCCCCCAAGCCUAUAGCCCACCCGUUUUUGUGGCCUUUUUCCGCUGAACGAACUUGGCGCCCCGGCCUUCGGGCGGUUAUUUUUGGGCGCGGCUUUGUCCGCGGCCUAUUUUUGGCAUACGGAGGCCCCUCGCAAAGUCUUGGGGCAUUCCGAAUCCGGCGGACGAAGUAGGCCAGCCCCACCCCCCAAGGCUAUAGCCCACCCGUUUUUGUUGCCUUUUUCCGCUGGACGAACUUGGCGCCCCGGCCUUCGGGCGGUUAUUUUUGGGCACGGCUUUGUCCGCGUCCUAUUUAUGGCACACGGAGGCGCCUCGCUAAGUCUCGCGCCAUUCCGAGUCCGGCGGUAGAAGUUGGCCAGCCCCAACCCCCAAGGCUAUAGCCCACCCGUUUUUGUGGGCUUUUUCCGCUGGACGAACUUGGCGCCCUGGCCUUCGUGCGGUUAUUUUUCGGCGCGGCUGUGCCCGCGGCCUAUUUUUAGCACACGGAGGCACCUCGCAAAGUCUCGCGCCAUUCCGAAUCCGGCGGACGAAGUUGGCCAGCCCCACCCCCCAAGGCUAUAGCCCACCCGUUUUUGUGGCCUUUUUCCGCUGGACGAACUUGGCGCCCCGGCCUUCGGGCGGUUAUUUUUGGGCGCGGCUGUGCCCGCCGCCUAUUUUUGGCACACGGAGGUGCCUCGCAAAGUCUCGCGCCAUUCCCAGUCCGGCGGACGAAGUCGG
rnacentral:lncRNA from 1 species